rnacentral:rRNA from 1 species
GCCCGCACAAGCGGUGGAGCAUGUGGUUUAAUUCGAUGCAACGCGAAGAACCUUACCUGGUCUUGACAUCCACGGAAGUUUUCAGAGAUGAGAAUGUGCCUUCGGGAACCGUGAGACAGGUGCUGCAUGGCUGUCGUCAGCUCGUGUUGUGAAAUGUUGGGUUAAGUCCCGCAACGAGCGCAACCCUUAUCCUUUGUUGCCAGCGGUCCGGCCGGGAACUCAAAGGAGACUGCCAGUGAUAAACUGGAGGAAGGUGGGGAUGACGUCAAGUCAUCAUGGCCCUUACGACCAGGGCUACACACGUGCUACAAUGGCGCAUACAAAGAGAAGCGACCUCGCGAGAGCAAGCGGACCUCAUAAAGUGCGUCGUAGUCCGGAUUGGAGUCUGCAACUCGACUCCAUGAAGUCGGAAUCGCUAGUAAUCGUGGAUCAGAAUGCCACGGUGAAU